rnacentral:rRNA from 1 species
CCUACGGGUGGCAGCAGUGGGGAAUAUUGGACAAUGGGCGAAAGCCUGAUCCAGCCAUGCCGCGUGUGUGAAGAAGGCCUUCGGGUUGUAAAGCACUUUCAGUGGGGAAGAAAGCCUUGGGGCUAAUACCCUCGAGGAAGGACAUCACCCACAGAAGAAGCACCGGCUAACUCCGUGCCAGCAGCCGCGGUAAUACGGAGGGUGCGAGCGUUAAUCGGAAUUACUGGGCGUAAAGCGCGCGUAGGCGGUCUGAUAAGCCGGUUGUGAAAGCCCCGGGCUCAACCUGGGAACGGCAUCCGGAACUGUCAGGCUAGAGUGCAGGAGAGGAAGGUAGAAUUCCCGGUGUAGCGGUAAAAUGCGUAGAGAUCGGGAGGAAUACCAGUGGCGAAGGCGGCCUUCUGGACUGACACUGACGCUGAGGUGCGAAAGCGUGGGUAGCAAACAGGAUUAGAUACCCGGGUAGUC